CAGUCGCCACGGUAAUACGGAGGGUGCAAGCGUUAAUCGGAAUUACUGGGCGUAAAGCGCACGCAGGCGGUUUGUUAAGUCAGAUGUGAAAUCCCCGGGCUCAACCUGGGAACUGCAUUUGAAACUGGCAAGCUAGAGUCUCGUAGAGGGGGGUAGAAUUCCAGGUGUAGCGGUGAAAUGCGUAGAGAUCUGGAGGAAUACCGGUGGCGAAGGCGGCCCCCUGGACAAAGACUGACGCUCAGGUGCGAAAGCGUGGGGAGCAAACAGGAUUAGAUACCCCAGUAGUCCCUGUCUCUUAUAC
rnacentral:rRNA from 1 species